UGAGAACCGCUGCUCUAAUACCUGCAGUGACCCCAUUAUUGAAACAACCAAAAGUAAGUCUUAUUAAUUUACCAAAUUCCUCUUUAAGAAACAUACUGCCUUAAUUGACAACCACCCUUUAGAGUUGCUGAUCCAAUGACUAAAGAGGAGGCGGGACAACCCCAAACACAACAACCCCGCCCUCCCCGUUUCUCAGAAACCAUGAGACUUCGGAGAAACAGGAAACUUAGGACUGGAAAGUCCCGUUUUCUAACCUAUAACAGCACUUUUUGACCAAAUACCAGUGACGAGCACUCCGGGCUCGAGUUUUGAUUGGGCUGUUGAAAAACUAAAACAGCGAGUUAAAAAGGGGAACACCCCAGUGCUUUCCGCCGCCCGGUUGGUGGGAGUAAGUGCCGCGACGCCUCGCUAGGUGACCUGGGCUCUGUUCUUCGCUGGGCACUGCUGCCAGCCUGGGCGCGUUCCAGUUAAAAAUUCAGUUUUAUAAGUGGCUCCCAGAAGCUUCACACCCCCUCGCCCCCGUGGGAACACAGCCGUUGUGGAGGUGGAGCCAGGACUGGAACCAGGAUCAGUGUUCAGAUAGACUCGAGAAUCUGGACUUUAAAUUCUUAUGUAAGUCAGAGAGUGACUGACCAUCAUCUGUGAGACACUGAGGACUUUUAACAUUCACUGUAAACUGAGGCCUGGAUCCAAAAAGCACAAUGAAUGCAAGUACAUGCUACGGUAGUGUGGUGAAUUCUAGACAAGCUCGAGAAUUUUGUACAGCUCGGGGAGGAGGCCCAAUUCCUGAGGUGGUCUUGGAAUCGGAACUGAUAGAACUCGGAGAAAGUGAGGAAGUGGUUGACCUCACCUCUGACUCUCUCGAACCUGCAGUGAUUGACCUAACUCACCAUGACUCUGUUGUGAUGACUGAGGAAAGGAGGAGGCCAAGGAGAAACAAAAGGUCACUCCAAGGACAAACUGGCAUCUGUGUGCUGAGCAGUGAAAAGAAGGGGGUGAUGAGAGACAGAGAUGUAUAUGCCCUGGAAAAAGAAACUUUUAGGUGCACACUACCUGGUUAUGUCCAGUGCCGGAUUUGUAUGGACGGGUACUUGGAGAUUGAAUUGAGUAGACGGCAUAUCUAUUCUACAGAAUGUGGCCACAUCUUCUGUAGUCGGUGCCUCUGCACUUUCCUUAGAAAUACUAAAAAUUGCCCAGUUUGUUUGAAAAAAAUUGACCGCCAUCAGUACCACCGAAUUUAUAUAUAACGUGUGCUUUGUUGCUCAGGAUAGACAAACCCCCUGACUGGAUUUUUCCACGUCUUUGCGCAGAAACUAUGGAGUUGUUGGUAUCCAAUGCUCUGAGCUCCGAAAGUCUGAUUUUAAACAUUGUUCUCUUGAGUGUAUGAAAACUCUUUUAUUGCUCACAAAUGACGAGGCUGCUUUUUUAUUCCUUUGGCUUCAUGCUGCAGGCCUGGACUUUUGUUGCUAUAGUGAAUCAGAAACUGGUGGUUGUCCUCAAAGCAAUUUUCCUUUUUUUUUUUUUCUCAUAGUAAUCAAUUUUUAACUGGUCACAUGUGGGCAUUUUGGAUCAUGUAAAUAAGAGCAACAUCCUAGAGACGGGGAAGCAAGUAGAUGGAAGGAAGCUGGGAGACAACUCUGAAAACCAGAGCCACAAAUACAAGUUUGGACUUUUAUGAGAUAAAUAAAUAAACUUCAUUCUUUAAGCAACUAU